UACGGGAGGGGCUAGCGUUGUUCGGAAUUACUGGGCGUAAAGCGCGCGUAGGGCGUCUUGUAAGUUAGAGGUGAAAGCCCGGAGCUCAACUCCGGAACUGCCUUUAAGACUGCAUCGCUUGAAUCCAGGAGAGGUGAGUGGAAUUCCGAGUGUAGAGGUGAAAUUCGUAGAUAUUCGGAAGGAACACCAGUGGCGAAGGCGGCUCACUGGACUGGUAUUGACGCUGAGGUGGCGAAAGCGUGGGGAGCAAACAGG
rnacentral:rRNA from 1 species